UGGGGAAUAUUGGACAAUGGGGGGAACCCUGAUCCAGCCAUGCCGCGUGUGUGAAGAAGGCCUUAUGGUUGUAAAGCACUUUAAGCGAGGAGGAGGCUACUGUAGUUAAUACCUAUAGAUAGUGGACGUUACUCGCAGAAUAAGCACCGGCUAACUCUGUGCCAGCAGCCGCGGUAAUACAGAGGGUGCAAGCGUUAAUCGGAUUUACUGGGCGUAAAGCGUGCGUAGGCGGCUUUUUAAGUCGGAUGUGAAAUCCCCGAGCUUAACUUGGGAAUUGCAUUCGAUACUGGGAAGCUAGAGUAUGGGAGAGGAUGGUAGAAUUCCAGGGGUAGCGGUGAAAUGCGUAGAGAUCUGGAGGAAUACCGAUGGCGAAGGCAGCCAUCUGGCCUAAUACUGACGCUGAGGCACGAAAGCAUGGGGAGCAAACA
rnacentral:rRNA from 1 species